rnacentral:lncRNA from 1 species
AACACAUCAACACUCCACCAUUUUCUUCUGAUCAAUCCCACACCAUCUUCAUGAACUCUUCACACUGUUAUCCUCACAUUCACUGCUCGAAAUGGUAAAGCCCCUCAAACCCAUAUUUCUCUAUUCCUUAAAUCCGCAUCGAAGGAGCAAGUUCAGGGGUUUUACUUAUCUGGGUCGUCUUCAAUUUUCAUCAAAACCCGAUCUUUUUGAUCAAUCUGAGUCCAUACAAACAGAGGAAAGUAAGAGGCUUUUGUUUAUUGUUUCUAAGGUAUCGGAUAUUUUGUCUAAUCCUCGGCUGCAAUGGCAGACAAAUGGAGAGCUUCAGUCAUUGAGCUCCAUAGUAAGACCCCCACACGUGGCAAAACUCGUUGAGAUCCAUGAAAAUACUGAAGUAGCUUUGCAGUUUUUUUACUGG